rnacentral:sRNA from 1 species
UCUAUUGCUGUUUGAUUUCCAGAAGAGCAUGUGCUCGGUUGCCCAAGGGAAUAGGCAAUCCUCCGAAUGAAUAUUGAAAUACCCAGUUGUUGUUUGCUCUGGAGGAGUGCCAGAGCUGCCUGCUGCCUGGGCUUUAGUGGAACUGAAUAGGGGCUCCUAUUUUAAAUACUCAAAGUCAUUCAAUUCAGAAAGAUUCAAAUGAAGACACCCGCAUAAACAUUGUUGAGUCGCAAUGCUUUGGUAGGUCAUAUAAUGAGAAAGACUAUUGUGUGUUUGAUCACAGAACCAUGAUUCUGGGCCCAAUCAUUUGGAGUAAAUUCCUCACCUCUGUUCCUCCACGUAUAUCUGCAGAUGAAUUGGCAAAAAUUCAACAGCCUGAGCAAGUUUUGGAAAACGAGGUGUGCAUUCAAGUUGCCAACAGCCCACAUGUACAACCACAGCCUGUACAACCGCGCACCUCUCUAGGGAGGCGGUUAUGGAUCUGCGAACCACUUGCUUGAAAACUCCCAGAACCUCACCGGGUACCCUUUGUAAAGGCAGAGCUUGAUAGAGUGGAGGCAGCAGAAAAUCCAAGCAGCAGAAUGGGCUGAGGAUUCCCCAGGCAGUUUUCUGAAUACAGUCAUUGUAAAGGUCAUGCUGCUAAAAUGAGAAGGAAUUUUGUGGACUGCUGGUGAUUCUGCCACAAGAAAUGAUCAAGUUGAGACCAAGCACAGUAUUUAGGAUCCCCCUCGUCUGCGGCUCUAAGUUCUGAUUGCUUUGAAGGAAAAAUGAAAAGAAAACAAUUUCUCUCUGAGGAACUGUGAUGCUUCUCACAACUGGAGGACAAUGGCUCCUCCCGAAGCAGGUCCCCAGCCCCCAUGAGGUGGAAAGAUCCUGUUCUAAUACUGAGAGUGCAAUCGAAGAAUCCAGUCUCUCUGUAACAAGAGUCAGAGGGAGAGCAGAUGCUUCAGUUGUUCGUCCUCUGCCGAUGGUACCACUGAAGACUGCCUCAAGCCACACAACUAUCCCUGAGGCUUGAAGGGAGGGCUUUGAUGAAGAUAUCCCAUUGAGGACUGAGCAUUCCGAAGAAUCUCACUCUCUACUGUCUCGGUGUUGGUUCUCAACUUCUGUGAGAAGAAGCUUCUCUGAUGAGGAUUGAAGUCUGUGUUUUCAAAGAGAUGGACUUUCAAGAACUGGCUGAACCUCAGAUGCCUGCCCUAGUUCCACAUUAUGUUGUCACCAAUCAAGCCUCAGAGGUUAUACCAAGAUUCUGAAUGGUUUGAGAGGUGCCACCCAAAGUAUAGCCAAGGAAACCGCCACAGGGAGCUUAGUCUGGAUCCGUGGUAGGUGGAAGACCGAGGAUGACACGGAAGCUGUAGAACCAGAGUCUGAAAUAUUAGUUCCACAGA